rnacentral:tRNA from 1 species
GCGGCGAUGGUGGAAGUGGUAGACACGCUAGCUUGAGGUGCUAGUGCCUUAACGGGCAUGCUGGUUCAAGUCCAGUUCGCCGCA